rnacentral:rRNA from 1 species
CAUAGGUUAAUGAGGCGAACCGGGGGAACUGAAACAUCUAAGUACCCCGAGGAAAAGAAAUCAACCGAGAUUCCCCCAGUAGCGGCGAGCGAACGGGGAGGAGCCCAGAGCCUGAAUCAGUGUGUGUGUUAGUGGAAGCGUCUGGAAAGGCGCGCGAUACAGGGUGACAGCCCCGUACACAAAAAUGCACAUAUUGUGAGCUCGAUGAGUAGGGCGGGACACGUGGUAUCCUGUCUGAAUAUGGGGGGACCAUCCUCCAAGGCUAAAUACUCCUGACUGACCGAUAGUGAACCAGUACCGUGAGGGAAAGGCGAAAAGAACCCCGGCGAGGGGAGUGAAAAAGAACCUGAAACCGUGUACGUACAAGCAGUGGGAGCCUCUUAAUGGGGUGACUGCGUACCUUUUGUAUAAUGGGUCAGCGACUUAUAUUCUGUAGCAAGGUUAACCGAAUAGGGGAGCCGAAGGGAAACCGAGUCUUAACUGGGCGUUAAGUUGCAGGGUAUAGACCCGAAACCCGGUGAUCUAGCCAUGGGCAGGUUGAAGGUUGGGUAACACUAACUGGAGGACCGAACCGACUAAUGUUGAAAAAUUAGCGGAUGACUUGUGGCUGGGGGUGAAAGGCCAAUCAAACCGGGAGAUAGCUGGUUCUCCCCGAAAGCUAUUUAGGUAGCGCCUCGUGAAUUCAUCUCCGGGGGUAGAGCACUGUUUCGGCAAGGGGGUCAUCCCGACUUACCAACCCGAUGCAAACUGCGAAUACCGGAGAAUGUUAUCACGGGAGACACACGGCGGGUGCUAACGUCCGUCGUGAAGAGGGAAACAACCCAGACCGCCAGCUAAGGUCCCAAAGUCAUGGUUAAGUGGGAAACGAUGUGGGAAGGCCCAGACAGCCAGGAUGUUGGCUUAGAAGCAGCCAUCAUUUAAAGAAAGCGUAAUAGCUCACUGGUCGAGUCGGCCUGCGCGGAAGAUGUAACGGGGCUAAACCAUGCACCGAAGCUGCGGCAGCGACACUAUGUGUUGUUGGGUAGGGGAGCGUUCUGUAAGCCUGUGAAGGUGUACUGUGAGGUAUGCUGGAGGUAUCAGAAGUGCGAAUGCUGACAUAAGUAACGAUAAAGCGGGUGAAAAGCCCGCUCGCCGGAAGACCAAGGGUUCCUGUCCAACGUUAAUCGGGGCAGGGUGAGUCGACCCCUAAGGCGAGGCCGAAAGGCGUAGUCGAUGGGAAACAGGUUAAUAUUCCUGUACUUGGUGUUACUGCGAAGGGGGGACGGAGAAGGCUAUGUUGGCCGGGCGACGGUUGUCCCGGUUUAAGCGUGUAGGCUGGUUUUCCAGGCAAAUCCGGAAAAUCAAGGCUGAGGCGUGAUGACGAGGCACUACGGUGCUGAAGCGACAAAUGCCCUGCUUCCAGGAAAAGCCUCUAAGCAUCAGGUAACAUCAAAUCGUACCCCAAACCGACACAGGUGGUCAGGUAGAGAAUACCAAGGCGCUUGAGAGAACUCGGGUGAAGGAACUAGGCAAAAUGGUGCCGUAACUUCGGGAGAAGGCACGCUGAUAUGUAGGUGAAGCGACUUGCUCGUGGAGCUGAAAUCAGUCGAAGAUACCAGCUGGCUGCAACUGUUUAUUAAAAACACAGCACUGUGCAAACACGAAAGUGGACGUAUACGGUGUGACGCCUGCCCGGUGCCGGAAGGUUAAUUGAUGGGGUUAGCGGUAACGCGAAGCUCUUGAUCGAAGCCCCGGUAAACGGCGGCCGUAACUAUAACGGUCCUAAGGUAGCGAAAUUCCUUGUCGGGUAAGUUCCGACCUGCACGAAUGGCGUAAUGAUGGCCAGGCUGUCUCCACCCGAGACUCAGUGAAAUUGAACUCGCUGUGAAGAUGCAGUGUACCCGCGGCAAGACGGAAAGACCCCGUGAACCUUUACUAUAGCUUGACACUGAACAUUGAGCCUUGAUGUGUAGGAUAGGUGGGAGGCUUUGAAGUGUGGACGCCAGUCUGCAUGGAGCCGACCUUGAAAUACCACCCUUUAAUGUUUGAUGUUCUAACGUGGGCCCCUUACCGGGGUUGCGGACAGUGUCUGGUGGGUAGUUUGACUGGGGCGGUCUCCUCCUAAAGAGUAACGGAGGAGCACGAAGGUUGGCUAAUCCUGGUCGGACAUCAGGAGGUUAGUGCAAUGGCAUAAGCCAGCUUGACUGCGAGCGUGACGGCGCGAGCAGGUGCGAAAGCAGGUCAUAGUGAUCCGGUGGUUCUGAAUGGAAGGGCCAUCGCUCAACGGAUAAAAGGUACUCCGGGGAUAACAGGCUGAUACCGCCCAAGAGUUCAUAUCGACGGCGGUGUUUGGCACCUCGAUGUCGGCUCAUCACAUCCUGGGGCUGAAGUAGGUCCCAAGGGUAUGGCUGUUCGCCAUUUAAAGUGGUACGCGAGCUGGGUUUAGAACGUCGUGAGACAGUUCGGUCCCUAUCUGCCGUGGGCGCUGGAGAACUGAGGGGGGCUGCUCCUAGUACGAGAGGACCGGAGUGGACGCAUCACUGGUGUUCGGGUUGUCAUGCCAAUGGCACUGCCCGGUAGCUAAAUGCGGAAGAGAUAAGUGCUGAAAGCAUCUAAGCACGAAACUUGCCCCGAGAUGAGUUCUCCCUGACUCCUUGAGAGUCCUGAAGGAACGUUGAAGACGACGACGUUGAUAGGCCGGGUGUGUAAGCGCAGCGAUGCGUUGAGCUAACCGGUAC